CGCGCAGCCUGAUGCAGCCAUGCCGCGUGUAUGAAGAAGGCCUUCGGGUUGUAAAGUACUUUCAGCGAGGAGGAAGGGGUAUGUGGUUAAUAACCGCAUUGAUUGACGUUACUCGCAGAAGAAGCACCGGCUAACUCCGUGCCAGCAGCCGCGGUAAUACGGAGGGUGCAAGCGUUAAUCGGAAUUACUGGGCGUAAAGCGCACGCAGGCGGUCUGUCAAGUCGGAUGUGAAAUCCCCGGGCUCAACCUGGGAACUGCAUCCGAAACUGGCAGGCUAGAGUCUUGUAGAGGGGGGUAGAAUU
rnacentral:rRNA from 1 species